rnacentral:rRNA from 1 species
GAUGAACGCUGGCGGCGUGCCUAAUACAUGCAAGUCGAGCGAACGGACGAGCAGCUUGCUGCGCUGAUGUUAGCGGCGGACGGGGAAGUAACACGUGGAUAACCUACCUAUAAGACUGGGAUAACUUCGGGAAACCGGAACUAAUACCGGAUAAUAUUUUGAACCGCAUGGUUCAAAAGUUAAAGACGGUCUUGCUGUCACUUAUAGAUGGUUCCGCGCUGCAUUAGCUAGUUGGUAAGGUAACGGCUUACCAAGGCCACGAUGCAUAGCCGACCUGAGGGGGUGAUCGUCCACAGUGGAACUGAGACACGGUCCAGACUCCUACGGGAGGCAGCAGUAGGGAAUCUUCCGCAAUGGGCGAAAGCCUGACGGAGCAACGCCGCGUGAGUGAUGAAGGUCUUCGGAUCGUAAAACUCUGUUCUUAGGGAAGAACAUAUGUGUAAGUAACUGUGAACAUCUUGACGGUACCUAAUCAGAAAGCCACGGCUAACUACGUG